rfam:Paenibacillus sp. MAEPY2 contig8, whole genome shotgun sequence.
AUGUUUUAAUCGCUGAGUUUCCAUUCAUUCAUGGGUGGGAAACGGGGGAACCAACAGGAUGAACUGUCCAAGACAGUAGGCAUCCAUGGGGUGAAUUUUCCGGUGACAGCCGGAAAUAGGGCGACUCUCGCGCCCGAAUCCGUCAGCUAACCUCGUAAGCGUUAAAGGGAGAGGCA